UGCAGCUUUCGUUGCUUUGGUGCCCAGUGG
rnacentral:piRNA from 1 species